rnacentral:rRNA from 1 species
UACGUAGGUGACGAGCGUUGUCCGGAAUUACUGGGUGUAAAGCGUGCGUAGGUGGCGUGCCAAGUCUGCUGUGAAAUCGCCCGGCUCAACUGGGCGGGGUCGGUGGAAACUGGUGCGCUGGAGGACGGUAGAGGCCGGUGGAAUUCCCGGUGUAGUGGUGAAAUGCGUAGAGAUCGGGAGGAACACCCGUGGCGCAGGCGGCCGGCUGGGCCGGUCCUGACACUGAGGCACGAAGGCGUGGGGAGCGAACGGG